UGAGAGUGUGAUCUGGCUGGGACAUCUCUCAGCCCACUCAUUGCCAGGGUGGGUUUGGGUGACCUAGCUGGCGAAGCGGUGUCCUUUUCCUCCUUCGGUGCUCCAAGUGUGUCCUUCCCAAAGCUGCGUGCUUAGUUGACGAGGACGACCGCCCCAUGGAGUGGGACAGCUCCUUGGCCAAGAGUAUAGGAGUAGCUGUGCUCCCCUCCUAGGAUCUCCAAAUGAGCUCUCAAGGAAGGGGUGUUGUAAUGUUCCCCCCAGAACUCUUUAACGCUUAAGUCUGUGACUUUCU
rnacentral:snRNA from 1 species